GGCAUCAAUAUGGUGACCUCCCGGGAGCGGGGGACCACCAGGUUGCCUAAGGAGGGGUGAACCGGCCCAGGUCGGAAACGGAGCAGGUCAAAACUCCCGUGCU
rnacentral:sRNA from 1 species